AGGAAAGGAAAACAUCACAAGGGAGAAUGACAAUGAAAAGGAAGGAAGGAAGGAAGGUAUGAGGCUGGACGAAGGAACACUGGGAAGGAAGGAAGGAAGGUAUGAGGCUGGACGAAGGAACACUGGGAAGGAAGGAAGGAAGGUAUGAGGCUGGACGAAGGAACACUGGGAAGGAAGGAAGGAAGGUAUGAGGCUGGACGAAGGAACACUGGGAAGGAAGGAAGGAAGGUAUGAGGCUGGACGAAGGAACACUGGGAAGGAAGGAAGGAAGGUAUGAGGCUGGACGAAGGAACACUGGGAAGGAAGGAAGGAAGGUAUGAGGCUGGACGAAGGAACACUGGGAAGGAAGGAAGGAAGGAAGGAAGGUAUAAGGCUGGACGAAGGAACACUGGGAAGGAAGGAAGGAAGGUAUGAGGCUGGACGAAGGAACACUGGGAAGGAAGGAAGGAAGGAAGGUCUGAGGGUGGACGAAGGAACACUGGGAAGGAAGGAAGGAAGGAAGGUCUGAGGGUGGACGAAGGAACACUGGGAAGGAAGGAAGGAAGGAAGGUCUGAGGGUGGACGAAGGAACACUGGGAAGGAAGGAAGGAGGGA